rnacentral:lncRNA from 1 species
UGUUGUUGGUUUAGCUCUGCAGCUGCUUCUCUCUAAAACUCGUUUCUUGAUUUUUUUUUUCUGACUCGAUCUUUUACACUGUGCUUGUAUCUCUGUAUUGGGUUUCUGUCAUUCUUUUCUGUGAGAUGAUGAUUUCGUCUUAUUAUCUGGUUCUUGCCCCUUUUCUUAACCAAGGCUCGUCUCUUUCUGUCUUCUCAUCUUGUAGAAAUGUUUAAUUUAUUUCUAACGAUCUGUAUUUUUUCUUAUUCUUGAUUUAGGAUCAGUGUGACUGUUUGAAAGCUACAGAGGAGGAAUCUAGAGAGAGUUUGGAAAGAAUCCAGAAAUCAAAUAAGGUUUCUCUCAGAGUCUCAGGAAUCGAAGGUGUGUGUGCAUAGAAAACUUUGAGAAACAAAAUGCAAAAUAUUAUUAUGAAAGUCUCAAUUUGUCAUUGUCUUGUGAUCCUAUGUGUGGCUGAGUUUUUAUUUGUGUACAUUUUCUUUUCCAUUUUUCUGUUGGCAUUGUCUUUUGAGUUUUGAUCUUUUUCCAUUUUGCUGUUUCUUCUUCUUCAUCAUCAAAUGGAGAUCAAAUAAUAAAGUGGCAAACUACUAAGUGAGUCUUUGGUAUAUAGUUUUACCACCUAAUCCUCCAUAAUCAUAGAAAUAAUUUGUGAAAACCAUUUUCUCACAUUAUCAAAGAAGUGUUUUUCCCUUGAGAGUUCCCAUGCUGUUUUUUGAUGCAGUUUCCAUGUUGUUUUGAAUGAUGAGAAAUCAUCUCAUUUCAGAUCUUCAACGCAUGUUUUUAUUUCAUACAUAAUUUUAUAUAUAAAAACACUUAAACAUUAAAUUAAAUUGGUGAAACAUAUAAACUAUAAAUUCAUUUCAGCACACUAAUUUUCAAAAUCUAUUUUUUAAUCAAAUAGCUCUUCUUUUAUAGUUCUCAAAAGCCACUUAAAAUGCAUCUUUUAGUAUUUUAAAACUUAAAAUGCAUCUAUUUCAGUCAAAACUGAAAAGAUAAAAUUAAAUGACCAAACUGUAUAAUCAUUCUUACAAAUACAAUAGACCCUAAGUUAAUGUCUAUUUUUUUUUAUACAGAUGCUUCUGAAUUUUUUUAGGUUGACUAGUGACUACGCUUUCCGCUUGAGUGUUAAUUAGGGAUUUGUCAUUUCAUUUGUCGGAAGCUUAAAAAGAUCUUCUAUAACAAGGUAACAAGGUUCUAUUACUUUUUCAUUUUUAUAAUUGUUAGAUUUAUAAUUUUAUGCAUUAUUUCUUAUAUAAUUUUAUAGUUCG